CAACCCUCAGAACCCCUUUGGGGGAUCUGGCGUUGGGGAUCGGCAGUCCUGCCGGCCCCGAAAUAUAGUGGCGGUCUCUCUGUGACCUUCCCUGUGUAGUAGCGAUACCUCGCAGCGGGAUAGCAGUUUGGCCACGCCGUAAAACACCCAACUUCUCAA
rnacentral:misc_RNA from 2 species